rnacentral:rRNA from 1 species
AGACACAUUUACUGGACGAUGACUGGGAACGCCUUGUUUUGUACUGGUCCCGAACCAAGAAUGUGAAUGCUGACAGAAUAUUGGGGAAGAGUGCCUUAUUAAGCAACGGUAAAGGAAGUAAUGCAGAUAAGGUUCAGGAUAGUGACACAUCCUGUCUUGGUUUAGUGUUGGAGUUAUUGGCCACUACCGCUUGCACAAGCUAUUCAAACU